rnacentral:rRNA from 1 species
GAUGAACGCUGGCGGCGUGCUUAAUACAUGCAAGUCGAACGAACGGACGCUAAGCUUGCUUCUUUGAUGUUAGCCGCGGGCGGGAGAGUAACGUGUGGAUCCCCUACCUGUAAGACUGGGAUAACUUCGGGAAACCGGAGCUAAUACCGGAUGAUAUUCUGAACCGUGUGGUUGGAAAGUGAAAGACGGUGUUGCGGUCAGUUCUAGAUGGAUCCGCGCUGCAUGAGCUAGUUGGUAAGGUAACGGCUUACCAAGGCAACGAUGCAUAGCCGACCUGAGAGGGGGAGCGGCCACGCUGGAACUGAGACACGGUCCAGACGCCUACGGGAGGCAGCCGUAGGGAAUCGUCCGCAAUGGGCGAAAGCCUGACGGAGCAACGCCGCGUGAGUGAUGAAGGUCUUCGGAUCGUAAAACUGUGUUAUUAGUGAAGAACAUAUGUGUAAGUAACUGUGCACAUCUUGACGGUACCUAAUCAGAAAGCCACGGCUAACUACGUG